rnacentral:rRNA from 1 species
UACGGAGGAUCCAAGCGUUAUCCGGAUUCAUUGGGUUUAAAGGGUGCGUAGGCGGCCUUAUAAGUCAGUGGUGAAAUCCCGCAGCUCAACUGCGGAACUGCCAUUGAUACUGUAGGGCUUGAAUGGCGAUGAUGUUGGCGGAAUGUGCCAUGUAGCGGUGAAAUGCUUAGAUAUGGCACAGAACACCGAUUGUGAAGACAGCUGACAAAACGUUCAUUGACGCUGAGGCACGAAAGUGUGGGGAUCAAACAGG